rnacentral:rRNA from 1 species
AGCGAACGCUGGCGGCAGGCCUAACACAUGCAAGUCGAACGAACUCUUCGGAGUUAGUGGCGGACGGGUGAGUAACACGUGGGAACGUGCCUUUUGGUUCGGAAUAACUCAGGGAAACUUGUGCUAAUACCGAAUGUGCCCUUCGGGGGAAAGAUUUAUUGCCAUUAGAGCGGCCCGCGUCGGAUUAGCUAGUUGGUGAGGUAACGGCUCACCAAGGCGACGAUCAGUAACUGGUCUGAGAGGAUGACCCGCCACACUGGGACUGAGACACGGCCCAGACUCCUACGGGAGGCAGCAGUGGGGAAUCUUGCGCAAUGGGCGAAAGCAUGAAGCAGCCAUGCCGCGUGAAUGAUGAAGGUCUUAGGAUUGUAAAAUUCUUUCACCGGGGACGAUAAUGACGGUACCCGGAGAAGAAGCCCCGGCUAACUUCGUG